GGGACCAACAGUGGAGAAGGUGCUGCCAACACUGGUCUGUGUAAUGGAGCACUGGCCACUGUACAGGAUGCGCACCUCUGAUGGGGAUAACAAGGACAUUUUUGCCCUGGCUGUGAGUUUCUGGGCCUUUGCUCACCCCGAGUCACCUCUCCAGCAGCUCUCCAUCCUCUCCCUGCCUCAGGCACUGAAACCUGGGCUAGGGGCAGGCUCAGGGGGCACCAGGCCCGCUGCUCCCCCUGCGUCUCCUCUUAUGACCUGACACCUCGGCACUGAGCGCUGUCUUGGGCUUCUUCUAUUUCAGGCAACUCUGGUGCUCUGGGUGAUUCUCCAGGAGCCUGAGUGCCACGAGGCAAUGACCCUUUAUUCCUCCCGCCUGUCUGUGGCUCUGCUUCUCCAUGUUGUCAUCACCACACAGCAGAUGCCACCCAAGGAAGUUGAUAACUUCUGGACAGCAUGCCGGCAGGAACGCCGCCUUCCCAGCAACCCCAACAGGUUCCAGUCUGUAGGAGGAUAGCUUGUAUCAUAAGGUAGAGCUAUCCACACCUGGGCCUCAAACUAGGCCUCAGACCAGGCCUCAGGCCUGGUCUAGCAGGCCUCAGUACGUUCAGCAUACGUACUGACAGAUAAACUUAUCUACUACUAAGGAUGUCUUAAGGUGGUAGUGUCACUAACAUAGAACAGUUACUGGGAUGACACGGUGGCUACCUUAAACUGCAAUAGCUUACAUACUUCUGUAUGUUCACCGCCUAUCACAAUGCACCUGCUACUGUAAACUAUUCGCUCUGUACUUAACCGGCCAUCUCACAGAAUAAAGCGGAUUACGUGCUUAGAACCAUAUUGGUGUGGACGCACGUUAUUCUAGUCCCCAGUCUUUCCAGGGUUCCACGUCAUGUGGCGCCUGAAUAGAGACAGAGCCCUGGAUUUUAAUGAAAUAUAAAGCUUCGAUGCUGUGUGAUUAUUUAGCUUAAAUGCUGUGGAUAAUUUAGCUUCAAUGCUGUGGAUUAUUUAGCUUCAAUGCUGUUAAUUAAUUAGCUUAAAUGCUGGAAGUCCUCGCUUGAUUUUGGACGUGUGUGUGUCGCCUGCGAACUACAGUCCAGAAUUCCCGAGGCAGGCUGGGGAGCGUCUGUCGAUUGGAUUGAUCAGAAAAGGCGACAGUACCACCUACUGUCAGCAGAGAGAAGAUGUCUACUAAUGAGAAUGCCAGCACACCGUCAGCUCAAUUAGAGGCUCCUAUGCCCCCGCAGUCUGCCAAUCAACUGCACUAGCCGACGGACUGGGCUCUGAAAUCUUCUUACCCCCCCCCCCUUUCGCUGAGUGUAGAGGCAUGUCAGUGUCGUCUUUGAAGAUAAGCAAGCAUCGUAACUCGACCCUGUGUCGUGCUAUUACCCAGGAAGCUUUCAAGAUUGUUAAACAGAGACAGUGAAAACAUGCAACAAGUGGACAUUGCAAGAAAAACACCAGAAAAAGAAGGGAAAAUAGUCAUCUGUCCCUCUGUUGUGAAAGAAUCCAUCACUGUGUGAGAAAUACAAUGUGAAAAAGAUACAUCCUAUCAUGAAAAAGACAAAGCAAAAAAUGAAAUAGAAAUGAGUUCUUAGCUAGAGUUAUUAACUCUGUGUAAGGAUGAGUUGUUUCUACAUUUUGAUGUUGUUAAAAUUAAUUUUUGUGUGAAUUAAUUUGAAUUUGAGUUAAUUAUUGUUAAACAUAUAGUUUUAAAGCUUGUUUUUAGGAUUUGGGCCCUGAUAAGUUUAAGUUAAGUUUGAGUCUAUACUUAAAUGUUAAGGAGUUUAAUUAGUAAUGAUUUUUUAGUGAGUUACCACACAUAUAGAGUUUAUAAAGUUAAUGAAGGUUGUAGAUUUUUGUUGAGACGUACUUAUGUUAGAUUUAAGAGUUAGUUGAUUUAAAGAGUGUUUUAUAAUUUGUAAAAGGUAUAGUUGUUUAAUUUGUAAAGUUUAGUUAGAACAAAAAAAAAAAAAAAAAAAAAAAAAAAAAAAAAAAAAAGAAAAAAGAAAAA